CGGAGGAUCCAAGCGUUGUCCGGAUUUAUUGGGUUUAAAGGGUGCGUAGGCGGAUCUUUAAGUCAGUGGUGAAAGCCUGCAGCUUAACUGUAGAACAGCCAUUGAAACUGAAGAUCUUGAAUUAGGUUAAAGUAGGCGGAAUGUAUCAUGUAGCGGUGAAAUGCUUAGAUAUGAUACAGAACACCGAUAGCGAAGGCAGCUUGCUGAACCUAUAUUGACGUUGAGGCACGAAAGCGUGGGGAGCAAACAGGAUUAGAUACCCUGGUAGUCCACGCCCUAAACGUUGAUUACUCGUUGUUGGCGAUAUACUGUCAGCGACCAAGCUAAAGCGUUAAGUAAUCCACCUGGGAAGUACGACCGCAAGGUUG
rnacentral:rRNA from 1 species